rnacentral:rRNA from 1 species
GUGAGGAAUUUUCCGCAAUAGGCGAAAGCCUGACGGAGCAAUGCCGCGUGAAGGAUGAAGGCCUAUGGGUUGUAAACUUCUUUUCUCAGAAAAGAAUUAUGACGGUAUCUGAGGAAUAAGCAUCGGCUAACUCUGUGCCAGCAGCCGCGGUAAGACAGAGGAUGCAAGCGUUAUCCGGAAUGAUUGGGCGUAAAGCGUCUGUAGGUUGUUUAAAAAGUAUUCUGUCAAAGAUUAGGGCUUAACCCUAGAUAGGCAGAAUAAACUUUUAAGCUAGAGUUUGGUAGAGGCAGAGGGAAUUCCCGGUGGAGCGGUGAAAUGCGUAGAUAUCGGGAGGAACACCAAAGGCGAAGGCACUCUGCUGGGCCAAUACUAACACUGAGAGACGAAAGCGAGGGGAGCAAAUGGGAUUAGAUACCCUGGUAGUCC